GACGAACGCUGGCGGCGUGCUUAGCACAUGCCAGUCGAACGGAAAGGCCCUGCUUGCAGGGUACUCGAGUGGCGAACGGGUGAGUAACACGUGGGUGAUCUGCCCUGCACUUCGGGAUAAGCCUGGGAAACUGGGUCUAAUACCGGAUAGGAGCCAUUUUUAGUGUGAUGGUUGGAAAGUUUUUUCGGUGUAGGAUGAGCUCGCGGCCUAUCAGCUUGUUGGUGGGGUAAUGGCCUACCAAGGCGGCGACGGGUAGCCGGCCUGAGAGGGUGGACGGCCACAUUGGGACUGAGAUACGGCCCAGACUCCUACGGGAGGCAGCAGUGGGGAAUAUUGCACAAUGGGCGCAAGCCUGAUGCAGCGACGCCGCGUGGGGGAUGACGGCCUUCGGGUUGUAAACUCCUUUCGCUAGGGACGAAGCUUUUGUGACGGUACCUAGAGAAGAAGCACCGGCUAACUACGUG
rnacentral:rRNA from 1 species